ensembl:lncRNA
AUGUGUUUUUGUUACUCACCUCAGGUUCCUGGAUCCUCGGAUAUCUCGCUCUCUCUGGAAGAAGAUCACUGGUUCCUGGAUCCUCGGAUAUCUCGCUCUCUCUGGAAGAAGAUCACUGGUUCGUUUCCUGUUUCACCUCCGCCAGCCGACCCGCUCUCCACCACGCUCACACUCCCUCUCCGAAUCAACCUCCUCCAACCAUCCUCCGUCUCACUCAUCAUCUUGGACCGCUACCUCACUUUGGAUAUCACCCCGGCUCUCUCCCCCUCCAAGUUCCAACUCCUCUUCCGCAUAGUAAGUCCGACUACAAACAAAUCUCCCAGAACUACAACUCCCAUACUCACCUCUGUUUCCCUGUAGAUGCCGCUUCCUGUUUCUGAAACCGCUGGACUUAAGUGCGCCCUUAGUUCUCCUGUCAAAAUAAAAUUAUUUUUACUUUUUACCAUCAUACUUGCCUCCGGUCUCUUAUUCUGCAUGUCUUGGGUUAAGCACAUACCUCAGAACAUGACACUUGUACGUAAAUUAGCAAUCCCUCUCCUGGACUAAAGUUAGGGGGGGUGAUUGUUAUACAUGGUGGCCCGUAUGGGGAAUCUGAAUAUAACUGUUUGUGCAAUUUUGUAUUUUGGGCUAGUGGGUUAAAGAAAAAAUAAAAUAAAUAAAUAAAUUUAAAUACACAAUUAGAAGGGGUUGAAAGGCAUAUACAUAUACUCUAAAGAUAUGUCUGUGACAAGUGAAUCUCCUCCUAAUGAAUUAGAUACAUCCCAUGAGGAGGCUAUGGGGAGCCCGGCGCUAAGCUCUCUACCCCAACCUCUGCGCAAGAACCAAGUGAGGUUGAGCCCAGGGGGAACUCAUGGGUGACUAGAAGAAACCCAGUAGGGGAAGUGACAUCCCUGAUUAGCUCUCUCUACAUUUCAGACCCAGAGGAGGUGGACGCAAGUCUGGCAGAAGAGGAAAACGCUUCUUAUCUCCCACCCCCUGCUUUUACUUAUUUUUUAAUGAUCUGGGGGUAGUUAUGGAGAGUAUAUCUACCCUUGAGACAGAUUACAGAGACUCUGUAAACAGCUCCUUGAGCAGAGAAUCACCCUUGAGGUCAUAUAUUGAUAAAAGUGUUGAAGCCUUGGAACAAGGCAUGAUAACCACCUUACAACAGUUUGAGGAAAAAUUGGUGGAAUGUUUACAGCGACGUGAUGACUAGUGGAAAACAGAGAUUGAACGACUGAAGCGCGCCAGUUGGAUUCCUCUCUGCACUCCCACAUUUUGGGCAGGAGUUGCAUCAUCCACCCGGAUUCAUGUCCGAUCCACUCCUCAUCAGACCUCCCAGGACAGCACUUCUUCAGGGGUGCCCCCAACCACAAAGUAAAUGACACCUACAGUGAACCACCCAAUCUGGAAACAUCCAGCCAACCAGAAUGCACAGGAAUGGAUGCAGUUUCCAAUGCCACAGACACAAACUUGCCUCUGCCCCCUGCACAGCUCCAGACAUUAAGCUCCAACCCAUCUACUCCAGCAGGUGCUUCAUACAGCCAGUCCGCCAGUAAACCUCCACUGGUUUACGCCAAACCUGCCAUCCAAAAGGACCUUUAGUGGAUCAAGGGAAGUAGCGGAUGUGUUUAAUUUUCUGCAUCAGUGUAAAACCUUUCUGGCUGUACGCCCCUUAUCAGAUCCAGAACUAAUUGGGGCCCUAUCCAACACUCUUAAGGGGCCAGCCCAUAGCUGGUGGAUGGUGGCAAAAAAUACAGUACACAGCUGGCUUGAGUUCAGGGACACCUUUAAGGCUGCAUUCCUUCCCCCAGAUUAAUUACCUCACAGAGG